CAAAACACUGUUGUUAAAAGGUAUAGAUUUAUUUUUUUACAGAAACACGUUCCCGUGUUAUUAUAAGGUCCAGAGUACUAGUAUUUAUUUUUACAGAAACACGUUCCCGUGUUAUUAUAAGGUCCAGAGUACUAGUAUUUAUUUUUACAGAAACACGUUCCCGUGUUAUUAUAAGGUCCAGAGUACUAGUAUUUAUUUUUACAGAAACACGUUCCCGUGUUAUUAUAAGGUCCAGAGUACUAGUAUUUAUUUUUACAGAAACACGUUCCCGUGUUAUUAUAAGGUCCAGAGUACUAGUAUUUAUUUUUACAGAAACACGUUCCCAUGUUAUUAUAAGGUCCAG